rnacentral:rRNA from 1 species
GCCUUAGUAGCGGCGAGUGAACAGGCAAAAGCUCAGAUUUGAAAGCCUCUCGGGGCAUUGUAUUCUGAAGCCUUGAUCUUGGGAAACCGGUGCCUAAGUCUUCUGGAAAGGAGCGCCAUGGAGGGUGACAGCCCCGUCCGGCACUGACCCCACUGUAAGAUCUUGGCAUGGAGUCGAGUUGUUUGGGAAUGCAGCUCAAAUGGGUGGUAUGCUCCAUCUAAAGCUAAAUAUCUGCGAGAGACCGAUAGCGAACAAGUACUGUGAAGGAAAGAUGAAAAGAACUUUGAAAAGAGAGUGAAAAAGUACGUGAAAUUGUUGAAAUGGAAGGGUAGGCCGCUAACCACGUAGAGUCGUGUCUGGGGGGAAGACAAAAGCCGUUGAAUGUAGCUCCUUUUGGAGUGUUAUAGCUUCGGUCAAUAUUCCCAUCCGGGCGCGAGGAUCUAAGACUCUGCUAAAUGGUGGUCUACCACCCGUCUUGAA